UACGAAGGGGGCUAGCGUUGCUCGGAAUCACUGGGCGUAAAGCGCACGUAGGCGGAUUCUUAAGUCAGGGGUGAAAUCCUGGAGCUCAACUCCAGAACUGCCUUUGAUACUGGGAGUCUCGAGUCCGGGAGAGGUGAGUGGAACUGCGAGUGUAGAGGUGAAAUUCGUAGAUAUUCGCAAGAACACCAGUGGCGAAGGCGGCUCACUGGCCCGGUACUGACGCUGAGGUGCGAAAGCGUGGGGAGCAAACAGGG
rnacentral:rRNA from 1 species